CUUUGGUGGUUUGGCUGCUCAUCGGUUUACAGAGAGGUGGCGGAAGAGUUUGUUUCUGACUUUCGGUUUUAUGCGAAGAUCUUAUUUAUGGUUUUUGCUGCUGUUUGUCCAUGUGUUGCUCUUUCUACUUUCACUGUUGUUAUCUCCUUCAGUGUUGGUGUCUAAUUUUUGUGUUGCUACUGCUGCUGGGAGGAAAGUGGGUGAUAGUGCAACUUUCAAGGUUUCUUUAACUAAAAGUAAAU